rnacentral:rRNA from 1 species
GGAAGUAAAAAGUCGUAACAAGGUCUCCGUUGGUGAACCAGCGGAGGGAUCAUUACCGAGUUAUACAACUCCCAAACCCCAUGUGAACCAUACCGAAUGUUGCUUCGGCGGGCUCGGCGCUCCGGCCCGGCGCCCGCCGGAGGUAUCAAACUCUUUGUUUUUUUGGUGGCAUUAUCUGAGUAGCGCAAGCAAAUAAAAUCAAAACUCUGAACAACGGAUCUCUUGGUUCUGGCAUCGAUGAAGAACGCAGCGAAAUGCGAUAAGUAAUGUGAAUUGCAGAAUUCAGUGAAUCAUCGAAUCUUUGAACGCACAUUGCGCCCGCCAGUAUUCUGGCGGGCAUGCCUGUUCGAGCGUCAUUUCAACCCUCAAGCCCCAUUAGGCUUGGUGUUGGGGAUCGGCCGCGGCGGCUUCUCGUCGCCCGCGGCCGGCCCCGAAAUCUAGUGGCGGUCUCGCUGCAGCUUCCUCUGCGUAGUAGAAACACCUCGCUCUGGAGAACAGCGUGGCCACGCCGUAAAACCCCCAAGUUUUACUGAAGGUGACCUCGGAUCAGGUGGGAAUCCCCAAUUU